rnacentral:tRNA from 1 species
GGCUGGUGGCUCAGUGGUAGAGUGCUUGCGUGACAUGUGUGAGGCCCUGGGUUUGAGUCUCAGCACCA